rnacentral:lncRNA from 1 species
GAUUAAAGAAAAUAGGAAAAACUUUAAAAAAUCCCAUGUGAUUUCGUAAUUUCUUAUUUUGCCCCCCUGUGAUUUAAAGUGUAUCAAUUUGUCCCCUGUGGUUUUCUUUUUAUCUUUUCGGUAGCUUUUUCGUUAAUAUUUCGUUAAAUUAUAUACAAAAACUUCAGAUAUCCAUCUAGAUUUAUCAAAUAUUCACUUUAGUACCCUUUAAUUUUAACUUUAUUACUAAUUUAAGAAAAAAAAAUAAUGAAAUUGAUAAGAAAAAGAGAAAAACAAAACCACAGGGGGGUUUUUGAAGUUUUCCUAAGAAUAUAUAUAUAUAUAUAUAUAUAUAUAUAUAUAUAUAGAGUUGAGCUAGAAUAUUAUCGAUAGCAAGCCGGCACUUUUGCCACCCAUUUGUUUUAGAUGAUGGAGCCUCCAAAUUGACGAUCGGCACCGUUGAACAUGAUCUAUACCAUUUGAAGUAUUUAGAAAUAAAAUUUCAUACACUUUCGAUAUUGUUCUCUUAUCCAUCGAGUGGACACAAAAAUGAAUGGCUGAAAAUGAAUAUUCUUAAAAAAAUGAUGAUAGGAGUCUUGUAAUCAAGAUCAAGAGUAUAGAUCUUAUUUUAAAUAGUUUAAAGAAUUUUCUAACAAAAAUUCAAUUGAUUUGGAUAUCUUUACGCCGUUAAACAAGAAAACGUCUCAUAUCGAACAUUAAAAUUACAAAUUUUAAAAUCCUUUGAUCAUUAGGCAAAUGAUAUCGAAAAGAUUUGAAAUUUGAUUUCUAAAC